rnacentral:rRNA from 1 species
CCUACGGGUGGCAGCAGUGAGGAAUAUUGGUCAAUGGGCGCGAGCCUGAACCAGCCAAGUAGCGUGAAGGAUGACUGACCUACGGGUUGUAAACUUCAUUUAUAAAGGAAUAAAGUGAGGCUCGUUUGCCAUUUUGUAUGUGCUUUAUGAAUGAGGAUCGGCUAACUCCGUGCCAGCAGCCGCGGGAAUACGGAGGAUGCGAGCGGUAUCCGGAUUACUUGGGGUUAAAGGGGGCGGAGGCGGAAUUUUAAGUCAGAGGUAAAAUGUCCGGGCUCAACCCGGGACGGCCGUUGAAACUGGGGAUCUUGAGUGGGCGAGAAGUAUGCGGAAUGCGUGGUGUAGCGGUGAAAUGCAUAGAUAUCACGCAGAACUCCGAUUGCGAAGGCAGCAUACCGGCGACCGACUGACGCUGAGGCACGAAAGCGUGGGGAUCGAACAGGAUUAGAUACCCGAGUAGUC